rnacentral:rRNA from 1 species
AUUGAACGCUGGCGGCAUGCCUUACACAUGCAAGUCGAACGGUAACAGGUCUUCGGAUGCUGACGAGUGGCGAACGGGUGAGUAAUGCAUCGGAACGUGCCCAGUUGUGGGGGAUAACUGCUCGAAAGAGCAGCUAAUACCGCAUACGACCUGAGGGUGAAAGGGGGGGAUCGCAAGACCUCUCGCUAUCGGAGCGGCCGAUGUCGGAUUAGCUAGUUGGUGGGGUAAAAGCCCACCAAGGCAACGAUCCGUAGCUGGUCUGAGAGGACGACCAGCCACACUGGGACUGAGACACGGCCCAGACUCCUACGGGAGGCAGCAGUGGGGAAUUUUGGACAAUGGACGCAAGUCUGAUCCAGCCAUGCCGCGUGCGGGAAGAAGGCCUUCGGGUUGUAAACCGCUUUUGUCAGGGAAGAAAUCUUCUGAGUUAAUACCUCGGGAGGAUGACGGUACCUGAAGAAUAAGCACCGGCUAACUACGUGCCAGCCGCCGCUGUAA